rnacentral:rRNA from 1 species
CAGCAGCCGCGGUAAUACGGAGGAUGCGAGCGUUAUCCGGAUUUAUUGGGUUUAAAGGGUGCGUAGGUUGUUCGGUAAGUCAGCGGUGAAACCUGAGCGCUCAACGUUCAGCCUGCCGUUGAAACUGCCGGGCUUGAGUUCAGCGGCGGCAGGCGGAAUUCGUGGUGUAGCGGUGAAAUGCAUAGAUAUCACGAGGAACUCCGAUUGCGAAGGCAGCUUGCCAUACUGCGACUGACACUGAAGCACGAAGGCGUGGGUAUCAAACAGGAUUAGAUACCCUGGUAGUCCACGCAGUAAACGAUGAUUACUAGGAGUUUGCGAUAUACCGUCAAGCUUCCACAGCGAAAGCGUUAAGUAAUGCACCUGGGGAGUACGCCGGCAACGGUGAAACUCAAAGGAAUUGACGGGGGCCCGCACAAGCGGAGGAACAUGUGGUUUAAUUCGAUGAUACGCGAGGAACCUUACCCGGGAUUGAAAUGUAGAUGACUGAUGGUGAAAACCGUCUUCCCUUCGGGGCUUCUAUGUAGGUGCUGCAUGGUUGUCGUCAGCUCGUGCCGUGAGGUGUCGGCUUAAGUGCCAUAACGAGCGCAACCCACAUCGGUAGUUGCUAACAGUUUUCGCUGAGGACUCUACCGAGACUGCCGUCGUAAGGCGUGAGGAAGGUGUGGAUGACGUCAAAUCAGCACGGCCCUUACAUCCGGGGCGACACACGUGUUACAAUGGGAGGGACAAAGGGCAGCUACCGGGCGACCGGAUGCGAAUCUCUAAACCCUUCCCCAGUUCGGAUCGGAGUCUGCAACUCGACUCCGUGAAGCUGGAUUCGCUAGUAAUCGCGCAUCAGCCAUGGCGCGGUGAAUACGUUCCCGGGCCUUGUACACACCGCCCGUCAAGCCAUGGGAGUCGGGGGUACCUGAAGGGCGUAACCGCAAGGGGCGCACUAGGGUAAUACCGGUGACUGGGGCUAAGUCGUAACAGGUAGCCGU